rnacentral:rRNA from 1 species
CCUACGGGUGACAGCAGUGAGGAAUAUUGGUCAAUGGCCGGAAGGCUGAACCAGCCAUGCCGCGUGAAGGUCAGUGCCCUAUUGGCUUUUAACUUCUUUUUUUCGGGAGCAAUAAUGGUCCCGUGUGGCCAGACUAGAGUACCGUUCGAAUAAGCAUCGGCUAACUCCGUGCCAGCCGCCGCGGUUAUUCGGAGGAUCCGGGCGUUUUCCGGUUUUAUUGGGUUUAAAGGGAGAGUAGAUGGGUUGUGAAGUCAGUUGUGAAAGUUUUCGGCUCAACCGUAAAAGUGCAAUUGAUACUGGCAGUCUUGAGUACAGUCGAGGUAGGCGGAAGUCGUGGUGUAGCGGUGAAAUGCUUAGAUAUCACGAAGAACCCCGAUUGCGAAGGCAGCUUACUAAACUGUGACUGACAUUGAUGCUCGAAAGUGUGGGUAUCAAACAGGAUUAGAUACCCCGGUAGUC